rnacentral:piRNA from 1 species
AUGGCUGUCAUCAGUGGCCAC